AUUGAACGCUAGCGGGAUGCUUUACACAUGCAAGUCGAACGGCAGCGCGGACUUCGGUCUGGCGGCGAGUGGCGAACGGGUGAGUAAUGUAUCGGAACGUGCCCAGUAGCGGGGGAUAACUACGCGAAAGCGUAGCUAAUACCGCAUACGCCCUACGGGGGAAAGCAGGGGAUCGUAAGACCUUGCACUAUUGGAGCGGCCGAUAUCGGAUUAGCUAGUUGGUGAGGUAACGGCUCACCAAGGCGACGAUCCGGAGCGGGUUUGAGGGGACGACCAGCCAACCGGGAAGUGGAAACCGGCCCAGCCCCCGAGGGGAGGCAGGAGGGGGGAAUUUUGGAAAAGGGGGGCAACCCUUACCCAGCCACCCCGGGGGGGCGAUGAAGGCCUUCGGGUUUUAAAGCAUUUUUGGCGGGAAAGAAACGUCGCGGGCUAAACCCCCGUGGAACUGAGGGUACCGGCAAAAAAAGCCCCGGCCAACCACGU
rnacentral:rRNA from 1 species